rnacentral:rRNA from 1 species
CAGGACGAACGCUGGCGGCGUGCCUAAUACAUGCAAGUCGAACGGCUUUUCUAUGGAAGCUUGCUUCCACUGAGAAGAUAGUGGCGAACGGGUGAGUAACACGUGGGUAACCUGCCCAUAAGAGGGGGAUAAUAUCCGGAAACGGGUGCUAAUACCGCAUAGUUUUCUUGAUCGCAUGAUCGGGAAAGGAAAGACGGCCUUUGUGCUGUCGCUUAUGGAUGGACCCGCGGCGUAUUAGUUAGUUGGUGAGGUAACGGCUCACCAAGACGAUGAUACGUAGCCGACCUGAGAGGGUGAUCGGCCACAUUGGGACUGAGACACGGCCCAAACUCCUACGGGAGGCAGCAGUAGGGAAUCUUCCGCAAUGGACGAAAGUCUGACGGAGCAACGCCGCGUGAGUGAAAGAAGGUUUUCGGAUCGUAAAACUCUGUUGUCAGAGAAGAACAAGUUGGAGAGUAACUGCUCCAGCCUUGACGGUAUCUGACCAGAAAGCCACGGCUAACUACGUGCCAGCCGCCGC